rnacentral:siRNA from 1 species
CGGGCGGAGGACAUUGUC